CACGUUGAAACAUCCACACAUCGA
rnacentral:siRNA from 1 species